rnacentral:rRNA from 1 species
GAUGAACGCUAGCGGCAGGCUUAAUACAUGCAAGUCGAGGGGCAGCGCGGGGUAGCAAUACUCUGGCGGCGACCGGCAAACGGGUGCGGAACACGUACAGAACCUUCCUUCGAGCGGGGAAUAGCCCAGAGAAAUUUGGAUUAAUACCCCAUAGUAUAGCGGAGUGGCAUCACUCUGUUAUUAAAGAUUUAUCACUUGAAGAUGGCUGUGCGGCUGAUUAGGUAGUUGGCGGGGUAACGGCCCACCAAGCCGGCGAUCGGUAACUGGUGUGAGAGCACGACCAGUCAAACGGGCACUGAGACACGGGCCCGACUCCUACGGGAGGCAGCAGUAAGGAAUAUUGGUCAAUGGACGAAAGUCUGAACCAGCCAUGCUGCGUGAAGGAUGAAGGUCCUCUGGAUUGUAAACUUCUUUUAUAUGGGACGAAAAAAGGCUUUUCUAAGUCGUCUGACGGUACCAUUUGAAUAAGCACCGGCUAACUCCGUGCCAGCCGCCGCGGUAAUAC